rnacentral:rRNA from 1 species
UUAAGUUAUUAAGGGCGCACGGUGGAUGCCUUGGCACUAGAAGCCGAUGAAGGACGUUACUAACGACGAUAUGCUUUGGGGAGCUGUAAGUAAGCUUUGAUCCAGAGAUUUCCGAAUGGGGAAACCCAGCAUGAGUUAUGUCAUGUUAUCGAUAUGUGAAUACAUAGCAUAUCAGAAGGCACACCCGGAGAACUGAAACAUCUUAGUACCCGGAGGAAGAGAAAGAAAAUUCGAUUCCCUUAGUAGCGGCGAGCGAAACGGGAAGAGCCCAAACCAACAAGCUUGCUUGUUGGGGUUGUAGGACACUCUAUACGGAGUUACAAAGGACGACAUUAGACGAAUCAUCUGGAAAGAUGAAUCAAAGAAGGUAAUAAUCCUGUAGUCGAAAAUGUUGUCUCUCUUGAGUGGAUCCUGAGUACGACGGAGCACGUGAAAUUCCGUUGGAAUCUGGGAGGACCAUCUCCUAAGGCUAAAUACUCUCUAGUGACCGAUAGUGAACCAGUACCGUGAGGGAAAGGUGAAAAGCACCCCGGAAGGGGAGUGAAAUAGAACCUGAAACCGUGUGCUUACAAGUAGUCAGAGCCCGUUAAUGGGUGAUGGCGUGCCUUUUGUAGAAUGAACCGGCGAGUUACGAUUUGAUGCAAGGUUAAGCAGUAAAUGUGGAGCCGUAGCGAAAGCGAGUCUGAAUAGGGCGUUUAGUAUUUGGUCGUAGACCCGAAACCAGGUGAUCUACCCUUGGUCAGGUUGAAGUUCAGGUAACACUGAAUGGAGGACCGAACCGACUUACGUUGAAAAGUGAGCGGAUGAACUGAGGGUAGCGGAGAAAUUCCAAUCGAACCUGGAGAUAGCUGGUUCUCUCCGAAAUAGCUUUAGGGCUAGCCUCAAGUGAUGAUUAUUGGAGGUAGAGCACUGUUUGGACGAGGGGCCCCUCUCGGGUUACCGAAUUCAGACAAACUCCGAAUGCCAAUUAAUUUAACUUGGGAGUCAGAACAUGGGUGAUAAGGUCCGUGUUCGAAAGGGAAACAGCCCAGACCACCAGCUAAGGUCCCAAAAUAUAUGUUAAGUGGAAAAGGAUGUGGCGUUGCCCAGACAACUAGGAUGUUGGCUUAGAAGCAGCCAUCAUUUAAAGAGUGCGUAAUAGCUCACUAGUCGAGUGACACUGCGCCGAAAAUGUACCGGGGCUAAACAUAUUACCGAAGCUGUGGAUUGUCCUUUGGACAAUGGUAGGAGAGCGUUCUAAGGGCGUUGAAGCAUGAUCGUAAGGACAUGUGGAGCGCUUAGAAGUGAGAAUGCCGGUGUGAGUAGCGAAAGACGGGUGAGAAUCCCGUCCACCGAUUGACUAAGGUUUCCAGAGGAAGGCUCGUCCGCUCUGGGUUAGUCGGGUCCUAAGCUGAGGCCGACAGGCGUAGGCGAUGGAUAACAGGUUGAUAUUCCUGUACCACCUAUAAUCGUUUUAAUCGAUGGGGGGACGCAGUAGGAUAGGCGAAGCGUGCGAUUGGAUUGCACGUCUAAGCAGUAAGGCUGAGUAUUAGGGAAAUCCGGUACUCAUUAAGGCUGAGCUGUGAUGGGGAGAAGACAUUGUGUCUUCGAGUCGUUGAUUUCACACUGCCGAGAAAAGCCUCUAGAUAGAAAAUAGGUGCCCGUACCGCAAACCGACACAGGUAGUCAAGAUGAGAAUUCUAAGGUGAGCGAGCGAACUCUCGUUAAGGAACUCGGCAAAAUGACCCCGUAACUUCGGGAGAAGGGGUGCUCUUUAGGGUUAACGCCCAGAAGAGCCGCAGUGAAUAGGCCCAAGCGACUGUUUAUCAAAAACACAGGUCUCUGCUAAACCGUAAGGUGAUGUAUAGGGGCUGACGCCUGCCCGGUGCUGGAAGGUUAAGAGGAGUGGUUAGCUUCUGCGAAGCUACGAAUCGAAGCCCCAGUAAACGGCGGCCGUAACUAUAACGGUCCUAAGGUAGCGAAAUUCCUUGUCGGGUAAGUUCCGACCCGCACGAAAGGCGUAACGAUUUGGGCACUGUCUCAACGAGAGACUCGGUGAAAUCAUAGUACCUGUGAAGAUGCAGGUUACCCGCGACAGGACGGAAAGACCCCGUGGAGCUUUACUGUAGCCUGAUAUUGAAAUUCGGCACAGCUUGUACAGGAUAGGUAGGAGCCUUUGAAACGUGAGCGCUAGCUUACGUGGAGGCGCUGGUGGGAUACUACCCUAGCUGUGUUGGCUUUCUAACCCGCACCACUUAUCGUGGUGGGAGACAGUGUCAGGCGGGCAGUUUGACUGGGGCGGUCGCCUCCUAAAAGGUAACGGAGGCGCUCAAAGGUUCCCUCAG